rnacentral:rRNA from 1 species
AUUGAACGCUGGCGGCAGGCCUAACACAUGCAAGUCGAGCGGAUGAAGGGAGCUUGCUCCUGGAUUCAGCGGCGGACGGGUGAGUAAUGCCUAGGAAUCUGCCUGGUAGUGGGGGAUAACGUCCGGAAACGGGCGCUAAUACCGCAUACGUCCUGAGGGGGAAAGUGGGGGAUCUUCGGACCUCACGCUAUCAGAUGAGCCUAGGUCGGAUUAGCUAGUUGGUGGGGUAAAGGCCUACCAAGGCGACGAUCCGUAACUGGUCUGAGAGGAUGAUCAGUCACACUGGAACUGAGACACGGUCCACACUCCUACGGGAGGCAGCAGUGGGGAAUAUUGGACAAUGGGCGAAAGCCUGAUCCAGCCAUGCCGCGUGUGUGAAGAAGGUCUUCGGAUUGUAAAGCACUUUAAGUUGGGAGGAAGGGCAGUAAGUUAAUACCUUGCUGUUUUGACGUUACCAACAGAAUAAGCACCGGCUAACUUCGUG